CAUGCAAGUCGAACGUGAAGCCACCUUCGGGUGGUGGAAAGUGGCAGACGGGUGAGUAACGCGUGGGAACGUGCCUUUCGGUUCGGAAUAACCCAGGGAAACUUGGGCUAAUACCGGAUACGCCCUUCGGGGGAAAGAUUCAUUGCCGAAAGAUCGGCCCGCGUCGGAUUAGCUAGUUGGUGGGGUAAUGGCUCACCAAGGCGACGAUCCGUAGCUGGUCUGAGAGGAUGACCAGCCACACUGGGACUGAGACACGGCCCAGACUCCUACGGGAGGCAGCAGUGGGGAAUAUUGGACAAUGGGCGCAAGCCUGAUCCAGCCAUGCCGCGUGGGUGAAGAAGGCCUUAGGGUUGUAAACCCCUUUCAGCGGGGAAGAUAAUGACGGUACCCGCAGAAGAAGUCCCGGCUAACUCCGUGCCAGCAGCCGCGGUAAUACGGAGGGGACUAGCGUUGUUCGGAAUUACUGGGCGUAAAGCGCGCGUAGGCGGACCUGCAAGUCGGGGGUGAAAGCCCGAGGCUCAACCUCGGAACUGCCUUCGAUACUGCGGGUCUCGAGUCCGGGAGAGGUGAGUGGAAUUCCUAGUGUAGAGGUGAAAUUCGUAGAUAUUAGGAAGAACACCAGUGGCGAAAGCGGCUCACUGGCCCGGUACUGACGCUGA
rnacentral:rRNA from 1 species